rnacentral:rRNA from 1 species
AUUGAACGUUGGCGGCAGGCCUAACACAUGCAAGUCGAGCGCGCGGCGGACGGGUGAGUAAUGCCUAGGAAUCUGCCUGGUCGUGGGGGAUAACUACUGGAAACGGUAGCUAAUACCGCAUACCAUCGGAUGUGCCCAGAUGGGAUUAGCUAGUAGGUGGGGUAACGGCUCACCUAGGCGACGAUCCCUAGCUGGUCUGAGAGGAUGACCAGCCACACUGGAACUGAGACACGGUCCAGACUCCUACGGUAGGCAGCAGUGGGGAAUAUUGCACAAUGGGCGCAAGCCUGAUGCAGCCAUGCCGCGUGUAUGAAGAAGGCCUGCGGGUUGUAAAGUACUUUCAGCGGGGAGGCGUUACCCGCAGAAGAAGCACCGGCUAACUCCGUGCCAGCAGCCGCGGUAAUAC